CUGGCCCGGCCGGCGGCUCCUAGCGCACGGCAGGCGGCUGAGGCGGCACUUCCGGGUUGGCUUUCUCCAUGUUGGUUUCGGGAACGCGAAGGGGCGGGGCCUCGAGGUCAGGGGUCAGCGCCUCCCUGGUUGCCGUGGCGACUGACGGCGCGCGACGCGGGCGCGACUGCGGGGACUCUGGGCUCCUGGCUUGUUGCUGCUUGGGCCUGGCCCAGUGGCGGGUCCUCGGGACCUGGGAGGCUUGCAGAAGCCGGCAGAUGGAGAUUCAGAAACAUAAGGACAAGAAGAAGCUUUCUCAAGGUGAUGGAUGGGAUUUUCUGAGAGUUGGAAGGCAGGAUUUGAGCCACAGAGAGCCACUGUAACAUAUGAAGAUUCUGGUGAUGAUGCUGGCUCUCUGGCUACCUAAGAGGAAGAAAGCUUUAUCAAUCCAUCUCUCAAGGCUAUAGUCCGUCUCCCAUCACCUGUCCCCCUUUUAAUACCCUUUCCCCAGCUUUUUUAUCCAAUAAAUAUUUACUGGGCA